AUUGAACGCUGGCGGCAUGCCUUACACAUGCAAGUCGAACGGUAACGGGCCUUCGGGUGCCGACGAGUGGCGAACGGGUGAGUAAUACAUCGGAACGUGCCCGAUCGUGGGGGAUAACGAGGCGAAAGCUUUGCUAAUACCGCAUACGAUCUACGGAUGACAGCAGGGGACCGCAAGGCCUUGCGCGGACGGAGCGGCCGAUGGCAGAGUAGGUAGUUGGUGGGAUAAAAGCUUACCAAGCCGACGAUCUGUAGCUGGUCUGAGAGGAUGAUCAGCCACACUGGGACUGAGACACGGCCCAGACUCCUACGGGAGGCAGCAGUGGGGAAUUUUGGACAAUGGGCGCAAGCCUGAUCCAGCCAUGCCGCGUGCAGGAUGAAGGCCUUCGGGUUGUAAACUGCUUUUGUACGGAACGAAAAGCCUUCUUUUAAUACAGGAGGGUCAUGACGGUACCGUAAGAAUAAGCACCGGCUAACUACGUG
rnacentral:rRNA from 1 species